GACAGAGGAUGCAAGCGUUGUCCGGAAUUAUUGGGCGUAAAGAGCUCGUAGGCGGCUUGUCGCGUCGACCGUGAAAACUUGGGGCUCAACCCCAAGCCUGCGGUCGAUACGGGCAGGCUAGAGUUCGGUAGGGGAGACUGGAAUUCCUGGUGUAGCGGUGAAAUGCGCAGAUAUCAGGAGGAACACCGGUGGCGAAGGCGGGUCUCUGGGCCGUAACUGACGCUGAGGAGCGAAAGCGUGGGGAGCGAACAGG
rnacentral:rRNA from 1 species